ACUUAUGUGACUGCAGAGAGGAGGACAGAGGACAGUGGACACACACUUUAACAUGAUGGACUAUAGGACAGGACUGCUGCUUCUAACUGUCUGCUGGGCAGGUGUUGAUGCUCAGACUCUGACUCAAUCUGAACCAGUGGUUAAAAGUCCUGGAGGAUCCCACAGACUGACCUGUACAGCCUCUGGGUUCACAUUCAGCAGCUCCUGGAUGGCCUGGGUCAGACAGGCUCCUGGAAAAGGACUGGAGUGGAUUGCGUCUAUGUAUGAUAGUAGCAACAUCGCCCACUCUGAGUCAGUGAAAGGCCGGUUCACCGUCUCCAGAGACAACAGCAGACAGCAGGUGUAUCUGCAGAUGAACAGUCUGCAGACUGAGGACUCUGCAGUGUAUUACUGUGCCAGAGACCCACAGUGAGAGACAAUAACAGGAG